UUAUAAAGGUAAUGUUUAACGUUAAUGGUUUUAAGUCAGCAGGUUGAAGUGAGAACUUUAAGUUUGAAUCGUGGACGAUUUGUGCUAACAAUUUAUUUAUUCAUUCUUUACUUUGAUAAAUGAAUCCUUCAGGGAGGAGAGACGGUGUUUAAAGCUUAAAUAUGAUCUGUUCAUGUGCACCGAAUGCAGAGAGAGCAAGCUGAAGUUGUAUUUUGUUUGUCGGUGACCAAUGCUGCAUUCAUUUGAUGAGAAACAGUUAAAACAGUGGUAUUAUUGAUCAUUGAGCUUUAUCUCCUGAGCGAUUCUUAAGCAUUACGAGCACUACAAACUCUUCACUGCACAAUAUCCGACCAUCUAUUCAGAGCACAACCUGCAUUUUUCUCCGCAGCUGAACGUUUGGUUUUCCGUUUUCUCCAAGCAGCAGUUCUUCUGUAUUGUUCUUCCCACCUCUCCCCAACCCCCACCCCCCCCCCCCCCCCCCACCCCCCCCCCCCCCAAAAAAAAAAAAAAAAAAAAAAAGUUCAUUCCUUUUAAUACUAAGUUGAUCAUUUGUGUUCAAUUACUACUGUUAUUUUAAAAGUUCAGUCCUUUAAUACUAGGUUAAUAAUUUGUUUAAUCUGCUAUUGUUCUUUUCUUUGGAAAAAAGUUUCUAUUAACACUAGAUUCAUAAAUUGUUUUAUUUGUUACUGUUCUUUCUAUUGAAAAAUUGAGUUUAUUAGCUGUAUUUGUAAGUCUUUCUUUUUCUUGUCAAUUAACUAACUUGUUUUUUUCUUGAGAAAACUUUGCAGGUUGUAUCACUUCAGCAUUUCGUGAAGUAAGUGACUGAAAAUAUCCUGUCAAAAAAAUGCUUAUUGAAUACAGUACUAUUUGAUUGUAGCAUUAAAACCAUUUUACAGUCAUCACAGAUCUGUUCAAACGCAUAAUGAAGAAAAGAAUGUUUGCUUAACAUUUUAAGACAGUUUGCUUAUUUAAGAGAUGAUGUGAAAUCAUCGGCUUAUAAUUAUUAUUACUGAAAAAUAAUCAGAACAGAUGAUUAGGACAUUAAACUUGGAUCAUUUAAUCCCAUUUAGCUACAAAAAAGGUUGAGUAUUAUGAUCAUAAAAUUGCAAAAGGCUGUAAUUAAACUAAAUUAUCUAACUCUGAUGUGGCGUAUGUUUGAAAAUUAAGCACUUCGUUUACAUACAUGCAGCAUGUGAUGGUGUUUUCAGAGCAUCUCUACAGAGAGAGCAUCACAUUUACACAAUUUCCGUGUCUGUACAUGCUUGUGGAGUUGUAGGAUUCCCAACUCUUUGACCAAGUUAUUUCUAAUUAAUGGGCUAGUCAGAUAUGUCAUGGAUUAUUUUAUCUCAUGUCUUUGGUCUGUUUUCUCAUAUUUU
ensembl:lncRNA